GCUUUCGUAGCUCAAAUGGUUAGAGCACAGAACUGAAGAUUCUGGGGAGCCUGUUCGAUUCAGACCGAGAGCA
rnacentral:tRNA from 2 species